rnacentral:rRNA from 1 species
AACGAACGCUGGCGGCGCGUCUUUAGCAUGCAAGUCGAACGGUAAGGGAGAGCUUGCUCUCCCCUAGAGUGGCGGACUGGUGAGUAACGCGUGGGUGACCUGCCCUGAAGAUGGGGAUAGCUAGUAGAAAUAUUAGAUAAUACCGAAUGUGCUCAUUUACAUAAAGGUAAAUGAGGAAAGGAGCUACGGCUCCGCUUCAGGAUGGGCCCGCGUCCCAUUAGCUGGUUGGUGAGGUAAAGGCCCACCAAGGCAACGAUGGGUAUCCGGCCUGAGAGGGUGAACGGACACAUUGGGACUGAGAUACGGCCCAAACUCCUACGGGAGGCAGCAGCUAAGAAUCUUCCGCAAUGGACGAAAGUCUGACGGAGCGACGCCGUGUGAAUGAAGAAGGCCGAAAGGUUGUAAAAUUCUUUUGCAGAUGAAGAAUAAGAAGAAGAGGGAAUGCUUCCUUUGAUGACGGUAGUCAUGCGAAUAAGCC